GCCGGGCACGAUGGUGCAUGCCUGUAAUCCCAGCAGUUCAGGAGGCUGAGGCAGGAGGAUCAUGGGUUCAAAGUCAGCUUCAGCAACUUAGUGAGGCCCUAAGUAACUCAGUGAGACCUGUCUCUA
rnacentral:sRNA from 1 species